AGAUAUUAACGGGUGCUACCUACAGUGAAUCUCAGUGUAAGGAUGUCUUCUCCGUGACGUGUGAGAAUACAAACAAGUGAAACACCAAUCCAACAUAACAUGCAAGAAUAUGUGCGGUUCGUCAAAUUGAGACAUACGACUUCAGUGAAAGGACAUUUCCAUGCCAUGUGGGCUCAGUAAAGACGUUUGUACGACUUAGUAACACAUAAAUUAUAUACAGAUAUCGCUUAUCUGCAUAAGCUGGACCUAUGCCACAGGUAUUAACGGGUGCUACCUACAGUGAAUCUCAGUGUAAAGAUGUCUUCCCCGUGACGUGUGAGAAUUAAAAACAAGUGAAACACCAAUCCAACAUAACAUGCAAGAAUAUGUGCGGUUCGUCACAUUGAGACACACGACUUCAGUGAAAGGAUAUUUGCAUGCCAUGUGUGUUCAGUAAAGACGUUUGUACGACUUAGUAACACGUAAAUUAUAUACAGAAAUCGCUUACUUGCAGAAGCUGGACCUAUGUAAUUUGUGAACAUUCAUUCUUUAUAACGAAGAAUGGGGUCACUGUAGUAAUUAUAUGUAGUGUAAUAUAAAAUUAAAUAAAUAUUUUAAUAAAUUCU